GAGAGAGCCGCUGGGUCUCAGUGAAGUAGAGGCCUCGGAGGCGCAGGUCUUCCAGUCUAGACAGCACCAUCAUCAGCUCUUCCCGGGACACGGGGGCACUGCUGCUGGCAUGUCUGAAGUUUCCCUACAUGUAAAAAUAGAGAGGCCAUUUAUUAAGAUGUCCCAAAACUGGAUCAGCAACCAACUACAAUUGCCACUUCCAGCCCCUCAGGCUGCACUCUGAUACCUACAGUGAGCUGCACAUCUGGCUUCUUUUCCAGAAGAACCAUGUCACCAGAGGAAGCCAGAUGUCAUGUUACGAGGACCCUCAGGCGGCGCCUGGAGGCCUCAUGUGAUGAGACCCUGACACCCUGGCUCAGCAGCCAGCGAGGAACGGAAUGCCUGUGACAACCACAUGACUGAGCUUGGAAAUGGACCCUCCAGUUCUGGUGACUCCAGCGCUGGCUGACAUCUUGCUCACAACCCUCUGAGCACCCAUCCACUCUUCAACUCCUGAUCCACAGAAACUGGGCAAGAUGACUGUUGCUUUAAGCUGCACGGUUCUGGGGUAAUUGUUUGCAUAGUACUAGGUACAUAUGUUACCUGAUGAUGUUUCUACAGAAGCCCAACUUCUGUCCUUGGAAAGGAGUGUAGUGGGCCAGGCUAUGACAAUCUAUGCAGGAAAGGAAGAGCAACCCGUUUGUAAGCUCCCCGAGGAGUGUCUCGCUAACUGCAUGUGAUUCUGCUAAUGACAACCGAGCUGCCACUGGAUCUGGUGCUUCUUUUAAUAAGCUUACAGGAAAUGAUGCUGACGCAGUGAUGAAGGAGGUCCAGCGAGGGCUCAGGAGAACAACAGGACGUCCUUACCUUGUCUCCCAGGUAGGAAGGAGGUGCCACCCAGGAUGCACUGUGGACUGUUGAGGGCAGCUCCUGGAGAUCUGCAACCACACUGCUGCUGCCCGGGUUGAAUGAGACAGGGAUGUGGGCUCUGUCCACCGUCUCCAGGCGCCAACCCAUCAUAUCCACAAACUGGAACACAAGAGCAAAGGUUGGAAACAUGUGCCUGUAGCUUCUCUGAUGAUGGCUGAAUUAUGCAGAAUAGAAAGAACCAUGGGGCGGCCACCUUGCUCCAGAGGCUUCCUUUAUAUGCCUCCUCUAGAGCUUCAGAACCCUCACCCAGCACUGCCUCCCUUGACCCAACACAACUAGGAGUUCUCAGACAGCGGUGACCAUAUGUAUGUGGGAUUUAUCUCUGUAUCCCAGCACACAUCCUGGUUCUUGACAUUUAGUAAGUGUGGGAAUACUAACAGGGAUGGUGAGACCAUUUUAAUGAUGAACUCCUUAGAGAGCAAAUGUGAGGUGGAAUACAGUGGCCUGCUAUCAUUAUUUUUCUCUAAAUAAAUCCUCAUAACCAAGUAUUUCCCUGAUCAUAAAAAGGAAGCCAAGAGUUAAAUGAUAAGGGGGAGAAAGAAGGAACUGAUAAGACAUUGGUUAGGAAUAAUGCUUCUGGGUUCCCCUGGAGGUAGAACUUUUCUGUGGAUUUGUGAAGUAAUUUUUUUCCUCAACUACAAGCCUACAUUCCUUUUGGGAUGAAAUACAUAAAAUAACCUCUCCUUGAAUACUUGUUGGAUAAUAAUAAUGAAGGCAUCAAAAGUUUUUGUUUUGUGUAGCUAAUUUAAAAACCCAUAUAGCACGGGGUGUUGUGGUAGAUGUUGGCAAAUUGAACUCCAAUAAAAAUAAAUAAUAAAUAAAAA